rnacentral:rRNA from 1 species
AAAUUGAAGAGUUUGAUCAUGGCUCAGAUUGAACGCUGGCGGCAGGCCUAACACAUGCAAGUCGAACGGUAACAGGAAUCAGCUUGCUGAUUCGCUGACGAGUGGCGGACGGGUGAGUAAUGUCUGGGAAACUGCCUGAUGGAGGGGGAUAACUACUGGAAACGGUAGCUAAUACCGCAUAAUGUCGCAAGACCAAAGAGGGGGACCUUCGGGCCUCUUGCCAUCGGAUGUGCCCAGAUGGGAUUAGCUAGUAGGUGGGGUAACGGCUCACCUAGGCGACGAUCCCUAGCUGGUCUGAGAGGAUGACCAGCCACACUGGAACUGAGACACGGUCCAGACUCCUACGGGAGGCAGCAGUGGGGAAUAUUGCACAAUGGGCGCAAGCCUGAUGCAGCCAUGCCGCGUGUAUGAAGAAGGCCUUCGGGUUGUAAAGUACUUUCAGCGGGGAGGAAGGGAGUAAAGUUAAUACCUUUACUCAUUGACGUUACCCGCAGAAGAAGCACCGGCUAACUCCGUGCCAGCAGCCGCGGUAAUACGGAGGGUGCAAGCGUUAAUCGGAAUUACUGGGCGUAAAGCGCACGCAGGCGGUUUGUUAAGUCAGAUGU